rnacentral:rRNA from 1 species
UACGUAGGGGGCUAGCGUUGUCCGGAAUCAUUGGGCGUAAAGCGCGCGUAGGCGGCCAGAUAAGUCCGGUGUGAAAGUCACAGGCUCAACCUGUGAAUGCCGCUGGAAACUGUCUGGCUAGAGUCCGGAAGGGGCGAGUGGAAUUCCUGGUGUAGCGGUGAAAUGCGCAGAUAUCAGGAGGAACACCUAUUGCGAAGGCAGCUCGCUGGGACGUAACUGACGCUGAGACGCGAAAGCGUGGGGAGCAAACAGG